rnacentral:rRNA from 1 species
GACGAAGGGGGCUAGCGUUGUUCGGAAUUACUGGGCGUAAAGCGAGUGUAGGUGGUUGUCCAAGUUGGAUGUGAAAGCCUUGAGCUCAACUCAAGAAAUGCAUUCAGGACUGGGCGGCUAGAGGACCGGAGAGGGUAGUGGAAUUCCCAGUGUAGUGGUGAAAUACGUAGAGAUUGGGAAGAACACCAGUGGCGAAGGCGGCUAUCUGGACGGUUUCUGACACUAAGACUCGAAAGCGUGGGGAGCAAACAGG